AGUCGACGAAGAUACUUAAAAUGAGAGCUUCGGCAGGAUUUUUAUUUAUCCUAGUGGCGGACGGGUGAGUAACGUGUGGGCAACCUGCCCUAUACUGGGGAAUAAUCACUGGAAACGGUGACUAAUACCGCAUGUCAUUACGGAAGGGCAUCCUUCUGUAAGAAAAGGAGUAAUUCGGUAUAGGAUGGGCCCGCAUCUGAUUAGCUAGUUGGUGAGAUAACAGCCCACCAAGGCGACGAUCAGUAGCCGACCUGAGAGGGUGAUCGGCCACAUUGGGACUGAGACACGGCCCAAACUCCUACGGGAGGCAGCAGUGGGGAAUAUUGCACAAUGGGGGAAACCCUGAUGCAGCAACGCCGCGUGAAGGAAGAAGGUUUUCGGAUCGUAAACUUCUAUCAACAGGGACGAAGAAAGUGACGGUACCUGAAUAAGAAGCCCCGGCUAACUACGUGCCAGCAGCCGCGGUAAUACGUAGGGGGCAAGCGUUAUCCGGAAUUACUGGGUGUAAAGGGAGCGUAGGCGGCACGCCAAGCCAGAUGUGAAAGCCCGAGGCUUAACCUCGCGGAUUGCAUUUGGAACUGGCGAGCUAGAGUACAGGAGAGGAAAGCGGAAUUCCUAGUGUAGCGGUGAAAUGCGUAGAUAUUAGGAAGAACACCAGUGGCGAAGGCGGCUUUCUGGACUGAAACUGACGCUGGGGCUCGAAAGCGUGGGGAGCAAACAGGAUUAGAUACCCUGGUAGUCCACGCCGUAAACGAUGAGUGCUAGGUGUCGGGGAGGAAUCCUCGGUGCCGCAGCUAACGCAAUA
rnacentral:rRNA from 1 species